rnacentral:rRNA from 1 species
AUAAGCGUCGGUAAGGUGAUAUGAACCGUUAUAACCGGCGAUUUCCGAAUGGGGAAACCCAGUGUGAUUCGUCACACUAUCAUUAACUGAAUCCAUAGGUUAAUGAGGCGAACCGGGGGAACUGAAACAUCUAAGUACCCCGAGGAAAAGAAAUCAACCGAGAUUCCCCCAGUAGCGGCGAGCGAACGGGGAGCAGCCCAGAGCCUGAAUCAGUGUGUGUGUUAGUGGAAGCGUCUGGAAAGGCGCGCGAUACAGGGUGACAGCCCCGUACACAAAAAUGCACAUGCUGUGAGCUCGAUGAGUAGGGCGGGACACGUGGUAUCCUGUCUGAAUAUGGGGGGACCAUCCUCCAAGGCUAAAUACUCCUGACUGACCGAUAGUGAACCAGUACCGUGAGGGAAAGGCGAAAAGAACCCCGGCGAGGGGAGUGAAAAAGAACCUGAAACCGUGUACGUACAAGCAGUGGGAGCACGCUUAGGCGUGUGACUGCGUACCUUUUGUAUAAUGGGUCAGCGACUUAUAUUCUGUAGCAAGGUUAACCGAAUAGGGGAGCCGAAGGGAAACCGAGUCUUAACUGGGCGUUAAGUUGCAGGGUAUAGACCCGAAACCCGGUGAUCUAGCCAUGGGCAGGUUGAAGGUUGGGUAACACUAACUGGAGGACCGAACCGACUAAUGUUGAAAAAUUAGCGGAUGACUUGUGGCUGGGGGUGAAAGGCCAAUCAAACCGGGAGAUAGCUGGUUCUCCCCGAAAGCUAUUUAGGUAGCGCCUCGUGAAUUCAUCUCCGGGGGUAGAGCACUGUUUCGGCAAGGGGGUCAUCCCGACUUACCAACCCGAUGCAAACUGCGAAUACCGGAGAAUGUUAUCACGGGAGACACACGGCGGGUGCUAACGUCCGUCGUGAAGAGGGAAACAACCCAGACCGCCAGCUAAGGUCCCAAAGUCAUGGUUAAGUGGGAAACGAUGUGGGAAGGCCCAGACAGCCAGGAUGUUGGCUUAGAAGCAGCCAUCAUUUAAAGAAAGCGUAAUAGCUCACUGGUCGAGUCGGCCUGCGCGGAAGAUGUAACGGGGCUAAACCAUGCAC